rnacentral:misc_RNA from 1 species
ACAAACUUGGUCAUUUAGAGGAAGUACAAGUCGUAACAAGGUAUCCGUAGGUGAACCUGCGGAUGGAUCAUUACCAAGAGUACCACUCUGCGUACUGUGAACUGCACUGCUGCGGAGGCUGUCGGCGGCGCAUGCUGCCGGCGAUGCCGAGCCGAACGUAUCUGCUGUGAUCUUACAUGUGUUGUUGAAACAAACAACUUUUAGCAAUGGAUCUCUUGGCUCUCCGUAACAAGGUAUCCGUAGGUGAACCUGCGGAUGGAUCAUUACCAAGAGUACCACUCUGCGUACUGUGAACUGCACUGCUGCGGAGGCUGUCGGCGGCGCAUGCUGCCGGCGAUGCCGAGCCGAACGUAUCUGCUGUGAUCUUACAUGUGUUGUUGAAACAAACAACUUUUAGCAAUGGAUCUCUUGGCUCUCGCAUCGAUGAAGAACGCAGC